CCGGAUAUGAAGCUUGAGAUUCGC
rnacentral:siRNA from 1 species